UGUGGUUCAGUGGUAGAAUCCUUAUCUAUCACACAAGAGACUUGGGUUCAAUUCCCAGACA
rfam:Alligator sinensis unplaced genomic scaffold scaffold907_1, whole genome shotgun sequence